GACGAACGCUGGCGGCGUGCUUAACACAUGCAAGUCGAACGGAAAGGCCCUGCUUUUGUGGGGGGCUCGAGUGGCGAACGGGUGAGUAACACGUGAGUAACCUGCCCUUGACUGUGGGAUAACUUCAGGAAACUGGGGCUAAUACCGGAUAGGAGCUCCUGCUGCAGGGGGGGGGUUGGAAAGUUUCGGCGGUUGGGGAUGGACUCGCGGCUUAUCAGCUUGGUGGUGGGGUAGUGGCUUACCAAGGCUUUGACGGGUAGCCGGCCUGAGAGGGUGACCGGCCACAUUGGGACUGAGAUACGGCCCAGAGUCCUACGGGAGGCAGCAGUGGGGAAUAUUGCACAAUGGGCGGAAGCCUGAUGCAGCAACGCCGCGUGCGGGAUGACGGCCUUCGGGUUGUAAACCGCUUUCGCCUGUGACGAAGCGUGAGUGACGGUAAUGGGUAAAGAAGCACCGGCUAACUACGUG
rnacentral:rRNA from 1 species